AUUGAACGCUGGCGGCAGGCCUAACACAUGCAAGUCGAACGAGUGGCGGACGGGUGAGUAAUGUCUGGGAAACUGCCUGAUGGGGGGGGAUAACUCCUGGAAACGGUAGCUAAUACCGCAUACCAUCGGAUGUGCCCAGAUGGGAUUAGCUAGUAGGGGGGGUAACGGCUCACCUAGGCGACGAUCCCUAGCUGGUCUGAGAGGAUGACCAGCAAAACUGGAACUGAGACACGGGCCAGGCUCCUACGGUAGGCAGCAGUGGGGAAUAGUGCACAAUGGGCGCAAGCCUGAUGCAGCCAUGCCGCGUGGAUGAAGAAGGCCUUCGGGUUGUAAAGUACGUUCAGCGGGGAGGCGUUACCCGCAGAAGAAGCACCGGCUAACUCCGUGCCAGCAGCCGCGGUAAUUC
rnacentral:rRNA from 1 species